UACGUAGGUGGCAAGCGUUGUCCGGAUUUAUUGGGCGUAAAGCGCGCGCAGGUGGUUUCUUAAGUCUGAUGUGAAAGCCCACGACUCAACCGUGGAGGGUCAUUGGAACCUGGGAGACUUGAGUGCAGAAGAGGAAAGUGGAAUUCCAAGUGUAGCGGUGAAAUGCGUAGAGAUUUGGAGGAACACCAGUGGCGAAGGCGACUUUCUGGUCUGUAACUGACGCUGAGGCGCGAAAGCAUGGGGAGCGAACAGG
rnacentral:rRNA from 1 species